UCCUUGUAAUAUCAUAAACAAGUAGUGCCCCAGCAGCACCUCUGUAGUAUGACCUCGUGAUAGAUCUGAAUGAUUCUUGACCCGCUGUAUCCCAGAUUUGUAGUUUAAUGGGCUUGUUGUCUAUUGUGAUCAUUCUAGCCCCAAAUUCAACACCGAUGGUCAAAUCAUGAACUGGUUGAAAUCGUUUGUCAGUAAAUUGCAACAGAAGACAUGAUUUUCCAACUCCGGUAUCGCCGAUGAUGAUAUACUUGAAGAGAUAGGCGUAAGACAUGUUUGAGAAGCAAAUUCCGGAGAAAGAGUAAUGGCUGAAUAUCGUCUGAGCUGUAGAAAACAAUAGUUGUAAAUGUAUAUUUUACCUGAAAAAAUAAUAUACAAAUCCCUAAUAAUUGCUGUAUCGGUAUAUCCUUCCUCUUCUUCUUCUCUGUCGGUGAUGCGGAGAGAGAAAGAAGAAACGACGGGAGAAUUUACAGAGGCGCAAAGGCGUUUGAAUAUACGUAAAUUAUUGAACUACUUUG
rnacentral:misc_RNA from 1 species